rnacentral:rRNA from 1 species
GUCUACAGCCAUGCUACCCUGAUCAAGCCCGAUCCUGUCUGAUCUUGGAAGCUAAGCAGGGUCAGGCCUGGUUAGUACUUGGAUGGAGACCACCUAGAAAGACCAGGUGCUGUAGGCG